rnacentral:rRNA from 1 species
UACGUAGGGGGCUAGCGUUGUCCGGAAUUAUUGGGCGUAAAGAGCUCGUAGGCGGUCUGUCGCGUCUGCUGUGAAAACUCAGGGCUUAACCCUGAGCUUGCAGUGGGUACGGGCAGACUAGAGUGCGGUAGGGGAGAUCGGAAUUCCUGGUGUAGCGGUGAAAUGCGCAGAAUAUCAGGAGGAACACCGGUGGCGAAGGCGGAUCUCGUGG